GGGGACGGCUGGGGGGAUUCUCCUGUGGAGGAGCUUGAGGGUGUAGUCUGCAACCUGUUGAGGGGUGGCUCUUUCCUUGGCCUCAGCACCAGGAGUAACCAUGCUUGGCUUGAGGAGGAUACCCUCAAACAAGACAUUGUUCUCAGCAAGGUAGAAGAAAACCUCGGCCCAAACCUUCAGGGCGACUUCAAAAGUCCUGUCAAUGGUGUGUUCACCAUCAAGCAAAAUCUCUGGCUCUACAAUUGGGACCAAACCAUUGUCCUAAACAAUCAAGAAGCAAAACCCUAAUCAGAAACACAUCCUAACUAGACAGAAAACACCAACCCGGUUGUCUAAUUAGCAAUUUGAUACUUAAUAAAUUUUGAAAGCAAAACUUUCCAAGUAGCAAAACUACUAUUGACUGAUGACCAGUUAAAGAAUACAAAUAUUGUCUGCAUAGAUAUUAG
rnacentral:lncRNA from 1 species